rnacentral:rRNA from 1 species
AGAUUGAACGCUGGCGGCAGGCCUAACACAUGCAAGUCGAGCGGCAGCACGGGUACUUGUACCUGGUGGCGAGCGGCGGACGGGUGAGUAAUGCCUAGGAAUCUGCCUGGUAGUGGGGGAUAACGCUCGGAAACGGACGCUAAUACCGCAUACGUCCUACGGGAGAAAGCAGGGGACCUUCGGGCCUUGCGCUAUCAGAUGAGCCUAGGUCGGAUUAGCUAGUUGGUGAGGUAAUGGCUCACCAAGGCGACGAUCCGUAACUGGUCUGAGAGGAUGAUCAGUCACACUGGAACUGAGACACGGUCCAGACUCCUACGGGAGCAGCAGUGGGAAUAUUGGACAAUGGGCGAAAGCCUGAUCCAGCCAUGCCGCGUGUGUGAAGAAGGUCUUCGGAUUGAAAGCAACUUUAAGUUGGAGAAGGCAGUUACCUAAUACGUAUCUGUUUGACGUUACCGACAGAAUAAGCACCGGCUAACUCUGUG